UUUCAUAUAUUUUUAAUAUAUGAAAUUUGUUUGUUUUUUAUUUUUAUUUUGUGCUAAUAUAUCUUUCAGCACUUUGAGCCAGAUUUAUUACUUGUCUUACUGCUAUUGGGGUUUGCGCCAAGUUCCCAUUCUCGAAGUUGUUAGAUAUUAGUUCCACAUUUGUUUUUCGCACUACCAACCGUAUGCGUUACAUAUUCCUACUGAUUUUUAUACAAACAUGUAUACAUAGAUACAAAAUAUGUAUUUUAAAAAUAUGCAGGUUUCAACCAGUCGAAUGGACUGAACAGUUUCAGGCUGUGAUGAAGGCUUCCUUUCACUUCCAAUCCAACGCUUCCAUAUCACAAUAAAUAUCAAGAGUUAAUUUCAACAAAUAUGCAAUAAACCUUC